rnacentral:rRNA from 1 species
CCUACGGGGGGCAGCAGUGGGGAAUAUUGCACAAUGGGGGAAACCCUGAUGCAGCGACGCCGCGUGAGUGAAGAAGGAAUUCGUUAUUUAAAGCUCUAUCAGCAGGGAAGAAAAUGACGGUACCUGAGUAAGAAGCCCCGUCUAACUACGUGCCAGCAGCCGCAGUAAUACGUAGGGGGCAAGCGUUAUCCGGAUUUACUGGGUGUGAAGGGAGCGUAUACGGCAGUUCAAGUCUGGAGUGAAAGGUGGGGGGUAAAACCCCGGACUGCUCUGGAAACUGUACGGCUGGAGUGCAGGAGAGGUAAGUGGAAUGCGUGGUGUAGCGGUGAAAUGCAUAGAUAUUAGGAGGAACACCAGUGGCGAAGGCGGCUUACUGGACUGUAACUGACGUUGAGGCUCGAAAGCGUGGGGAUCAAACAGGAUUAGAUACCCGGGUAGUC